UACGUAGGGGGCGAGCGUUGUCCGGAGUUACUGGGCGUAAAGGGCUCGUAGGCGGCCAACUAAGUCGGACGUGAAAUCCCCAGGCUCAACCUGGGAACUGCGUCCGAUACUGGAUGGCUUGAAUUCGGGAGAGGGAUGCAGAAUUCCAGGUGUAGCGGUGAAAUGCGUAGAUAUCUGGAGGAAUACCGGUGGCGAAGGCGGCAUCCUGGACCGACAUUGACGCUGAGGAGCGAAAGCUAGGGGAGCAAACGGG
rnacentral:rRNA from 1 species